rnacentral:rRNA from 1 species
AACGAACGCUGGCGGCAGGCUUAACACAUGCAAGUCGAACGCCCCGCAAGGGGAGUGGCAGACGGGUGAGUAACGCGUGGGAACAUACCCUUUUCUACGGAAUAGCUCUGGGAAACUGGAAUUAAUACCGUAUACGCCCUACGGGGGAAAGAUUUAUCGGGGAAGGAUUGGCCCGCGUUGGAUUAGCUAGUUGGUGGGGUAAAGGCCUACCAAGGCGACGAUCCAUAGCUGGUCUGAGAGGAUGAUCAGCCACAUUGGGACUGAGACACGGCCCAAACUCCUACGGGUGGCAGCAGUGGGGAAUAUUGGACAAUGGGCGCAAGCCUGAUCCAGCCAUGCCGCGUGAGUGAUGAAGGCCUUAGGGUUGUAAAGCUCUUUCACCGAUGAAGAUAAUGACGGUAGUCGGAGAAGAAGCCCCGGCUAACUUCGU